rnacentral:tRNA from 1 species
GGAGUUGUAGCUCAGCGGUAGAGCGCUUGCCUAACAUGCAAAAGGCCCUGGUUCGAUCCUCAGCACCACCU